AUACGUAGGGGGCGAGCGUUAUCCGGAUUUACUGGGCGUAAAGGGCGUGUAGGCGGUCUUGCAAGUCAGAAGUGAAAUUCCUGAGCUCAACUCGGGCGCUGCUUCUGAAACUGCAGGACUUGAGUGCUGGAGGGGAUAGCGGAAUUCCUAGUGGAGCGGUAAAAUGCGCAGAUAUUAGGAAGAACACCGGUGGCGAAGGCGGGUAUCUGGAAAGUAACUUGCGGUGAGGCGCGAAAGCGUGGGGAGCAAACAGGGUUAGAUCCCAUGGUAGUCCACGCCGUAAACGAUGAAUACUAGGUGUAGGGGGUAUCGACUCCCUCUGUGCCGCAGUUAACACAAUAAGUAUUCCGCCUGGGGAGUACGGCCGCAAGGUUGAAACUCAAAUGAAUUGACGGGG
rnacentral:rRNA from 1 species